ensembl:lncRNA
AGCGAAAGCGAAAGCGAAAGCGAAAGUGAAAGCGAAAGCGAAAGUAAAACGAAUCGCUGUGGUUCUCCCGUUCCUCCCCCGUUCGGCGUCGUUUUCGGCUCGCAGCCGGACGUCUACCCCGGCGGCGAAAUCCUCUGGGCCGCCCCCCGGCCCGCCUCCGACUUUUCGGCCGCCGACGCCGCCGAAUUCGCCGCCGGCCUCCGGCGCCGCAGCUCCAAGAUGAGCUUGGCCGUGCUCCGCAUCCGCCCCGGCGCCCUCCGCGUCCCCCACUGGCACUUCAACGCCGACGAGCACGGCUACGUCCUGCAGGCACGCGGUUUUUUUCCCAUUUCCCCUUUUUCUCUCCUCCCUCCUCCCCCCCAUCCUCAUCCUCACCCCCCCCUCGCUCUCAACCUCUCCCCCCCCGCCUUCAAAACCGUUUUCCGUGCGGCGCGUGCGAGAAACCGCCCCCCCACGCACGCGCCCCUUGCACGUGGGGGGGGUGGCGACGUGCGAGCGGCGGCGUUGCAGGGCACGGCGUGGAUCGGCGUCGUCGACGCCGGCGAUGUCACCGGCAACGUCACCGUGGUCACCUACAACGUCACCGCCGGCCACGCCGUCUUCUUCCCCCGCAACGCCGUCCACUGGCUGAAGAACGUGGGCGCCGGCGACUGCGUCGUCGUGCUCUUCUUCGGCACGCACGAGGAGCUGCGCACGCUGGACGCCGACGACGCUUUCUUCGCCACGCCGCGCGAAGUGGCCGCGCGGGCGCUGCAGGUGAUGCCCCCGGGGGGAGGGGGUUGGGUCCUGGAAGGGUGAAAGUGGCGGUGGUUGCGUCCCCCUACCACCUUCCUUGGGCUCUCUAUUAUGUUUUAUAUGGAGGUUGGGUCCUGGAAGGUGCGAGGGGCGGUGGUUGUGUCCCCCUAGCACCUUCCUGGGGCUCCCUACAAUGUUUCAUAGGGAGGUUGGGUCCUGGAAGGUGCAAGGUGCGGUGGUUGCGUCCCCCUACCACCUUCCUUGGGCUCCCUGUUAUGUUUUAUAUGGAGGUUGGGUCCUGGAAGGUGCAAGGGGUGGUGGUUGGGUCCUGGAAGGUGCGAGGCGCGGUGGUUGCAUCCCCCUAGCACCUUCCUUGGGCUCCCUACAUGUUCUAUAUGGAGGUUGGGUCCUGGAAGCUAAAACGCUCAAUGCUUGGCUCCCCUCCCAUUCUCUCUUGGGUUUUCAGGUCCUGGCAGGUUCAACUCUUGCUGUUUGCUCUCCCUCCCAUUUUCCCUCGGGUUUUCAGGUCCUGGCAGGUUCAACUCUUGGUCUUUGCCCUCCCUCCCAUUCUCCCUCGGUUUUUUGGGUCCUGGCAGGUUCAACGCUCGGUGUUUGCCCUCCCUCCCAUUUUCGCUCGGGUUUUUGGGUCCUGGCAGGUUCAACGCUCGUUAUUUGGUUCCCCUCCCAUUUUCCCUUGGGUUUUCGGGUCCUGGCAGGUUCAACUCUUGCCGGUUGGCUCCCCUCCCAUUUUCCCUCGGGUUUUCGGGUCCUGGCAGGUUCAACACUUGCCAGUUGGCUCCCCUCCCAUUCUCCCUUGGGUUUUCGGGUCCUGGCAGGUUCCACUCUUGGUGUUUGCCCUCCCUCCCAUUCUCGCUCGGGUUUUUGGGUCCUGGCAGGUGCAACUCUUGCCAAUUGGCUCCCUUACCAUUUUCCCUUGUGUUUUUGGGUCCUGGAAGAUUCAAUGCUUGCCAGUUGGCUCCCCUCCCAUUUUCCCUCGGGUUUUUGGGUCCUGGCAGGUUCAAUGCUCGGUGUUUGCCCUCCCUCCCAUUUUCCCUCGGGUUUUCAGGUCCUGGCAGGUUCAACGCUCGGUGUUUGUCUUCCUUCCCAUUUUCUGUUGCGUUUUUGGGUCCUGGCAGGUUCAACGCUCGGUGUUUGCCCUCCCUCCUAUUUUCCCUCGGGUUUUUGGGUCCUGGCAGGUUCAACGCUCGGUGUUNCCAUUGACUCUAAUGACCCCCAUUCAUUCUAUUGAUCCCCAUUCAUUCCAAUGACCCCAUUCAUUCCAAUGAGCCUCGUUCAUACUAAUGAGCCCCAUUCAUUCCAAUGAGCCCCAUUCAUUCCAAUGAGCCCCAUUCAUUCCAAUGAGCCCCACUGAUUCCAAUGAGCCCCACUGAUUCUAAUUAACCCCCAUUCUAAUGAGCCUCCAUUGAUUCUAUUGAGCCCCCAUUCGUUCCAGUGACCCCCAUUCAUCCCAGUCCAUCGCCAUUCAAUCUAAUCCACCCCCAUUCACUCUAAUUAACCCCCACUAAUUCCAGUGACCCCCAUUCAUUCUCAUGAGCCCCCGUUUAUCCUAAUGACCCCCAUUCAUCCCAAUCCACCCCCAUUCAUUCUAUUGACCCCCAUUCAUUCUACUGACCCCCACUGAUUCUAACGAGCCCCAUUCAUCCCAACGAGCCUCCUUCACUCUAACAAGCCCCCAUUCAUUCUAAUUAACCCCCAUUCUAAUGAGCCCCCAUUCAUUCUAUUGAGCCCCAUUUAUUCUAAUGAGCCCCAUUUAUUCUAUUAAGCCCCAUUGAUUCCAAUGACCCCCAUUCAUUCUAUUGAGCCCCACUGAUUCCGAUGACCCCCAUCCAUUCC